rnacentral:rRNA from 1 species
UACAGAGGGGGCAAGCGUUGUUCGGAAUUACUGGGCGUAAAGGGCUCGUAGGCGGCCUUCUAAGUCGAACGUGAAAUCCCCGGGCUCAACCCGGGAACUGCGUCCGAUACUGGAAGGCUUGAAUCCGGGAGAGGGAUGCGGAAUUCCAGGUGUAGCGGUGAAAUGCGUAGAUAUCUGGAGGAACACCGGUGGCGAAGGCGGCAUCCUGGACCGGCAUUGACGCUGAGGCGCGAAAGCCAGGGGAGCAAACGGG